GGGAAUGAUGAUUAAUCAGACUAGAGUCUCUGACACUGGGCCUGAUGUCAAAUAGAAGUCCUGACUC
ensembl:snoRNA small nucleolar RNA, C/D box 52